rnacentral:lncRNA from 1 species
ACAGAUUUAGAAAAUUCGAGACAUCAAAAAUGACCCACUUUUAAGGUGUCCUGUUGAUUUUGCACCCCAGUGUAUUUAUUAUAAUUUUUGUGUCUACGGAUUUUUCUUCAUUGGGACUAGGAUAAUUAGUAUUAAAAUAGAAAAGAAAAUUAAAAAUUUGUGUAAAAAAUCUGCUGUUUUUUAUAUUUUCUACAAUUUAUCAAGAGAAAAGCAGUUGCGGGAAGGCUAAAGUUCAUAAAAAUGACGUAUUUACGUUAUUUUUACUUUUUGGCAUUAUUUUAAGUAUUAAAAUUUUUUAAUAUUAUAGUCAUAAAAAGAAUAAUUUCCAAUAAUAACGUCAAGAAAACGCACGAAAAGAUCAAAAAUAUUCCCACGGCAAAAAUCGACAACUCAAUAGUUUUUGUCAGUAAUGACACUUCAGACAAACUUCAAAAUUUGACAUAAUAUAUUGUUUGUGUGUGAAUUCGGCUUUAUUUCGGCCAAUCAGCAGACUUUAGUUUUCGCGCCUUCGUUUAAAUCACAAACCAUACAUACUCUAGACGGUCCACGGCCAUAUUAAUCUUUUGGAUCGAAUUAACGCCAUAUCUUGAUUGGAAUGGGAACUAAAUGGACAAAUUAUAGUUAGGUGGGUAUUUCAAAAUAUAAGUUUUGCGGGAUUUUUGAUGAAAUUUCGCAGGCAAUUAAAACAACAGAAAGACAAUUAAAUGUUUUAUUCAAUAAUUAUACUAUAACUUAAAAUUACCUUAAAAGUUCCAUCUACAUAAAAAAUACUAAAAGUAUUGUCUAAAGUUAUGGUAGUAGGUAAUCGGGGCUGAAAUACCAAUAUAAACAAUAAUUAUGUGUGAUGUGUCAUGUUUUUGUAAUCAAUCAUGUUUAAUAUUUAGUUGAAUGAAAAUCUUUGAAAGUGUGAUUGUUUAGAUAAAUACCCUAUAAUGGUUUACAAACUUCCGAAAAAUAUAUAAGCCCGAAAUGCUGAUGGCACACUUGUCUAUUGGAAUAAACUGUUUCAAGGUCCAUUAGAUUGUUUUUUAAAUGUGGAGAAACACAGCACGGGAUGGUCCAACGCUUAGUGUAAAGUAAAAAUCCUAUUCAUAAAAACGGAUAGGAGUAAAAAAUAAAUACAAAAAUAACCCAUUAAUUUAAUUGGCAACUGUCAAUUGUUAAAUGUGACAAGAAAAUUGACUGAAGGCGACAUCUCUGGAUUGGAAUGGUAACUAAUUUGCUGUCUUGACCUUGACCAUUUACGUGAAAGGUUUAAAGUAUGUAUGUUUAUAUCACUCCUCCUAUUUAAAAAAUGGACCAUAGUUCAGUGGAGAUCUGUACAAAAAAAGGACCUUUGAUCUGUUUAAGAAUGUUUCCGAAAGGUUUUCUAACUAGAAUUUGAAUGCGCUCCAGUUUAAAAAGUUGUGGAAAAUUCAAGUAAAAAUUUUAGGACGGAAAAUCGAUUUUACAAACUCUUAUUAUCUCUAUUAUUCAACCCCUUAUCGUGGAGGUAACGUAUCGCAAAAAAUGGUUACAACUUUUCGCAUCAAAAGUUGGUUGUGCAAUUAGUAAAAAAAUAUGUUUGUGCGUAAUACCCCAGAUUAAAAAAA